rnacentral:rRNA from 1 species
GACGUAGGGCGCGAGCGUUGUCCGGAUUUAUUGGGCGUAAAGAGCUCGUAGGCGGCUUGUUGCGUCGACUGUGAAAACCCGCGGCUUAACUGCGGGCUUGCAGUUGAUACGGGCAGGCUAGAGUUCGGUAGGGGAGACUGGAAUUCCUGGUGUAGCGGUGAAAUGCGCAGAUAUCAGGAGGAACACCGGUGGCGAAGGCGGGUCUCUGGGCCGAUACUGACGCUGAGGCGCGACAGCGUGGGGAGCAAACAGG